UCUCCUCCUCGAUCUCAGGAGCAAUCGAUCCCUGAGGUAGAGGUCAUCGCUCCUGCUCCCUAGCAAAUCGAGCUUCCACCUCCCCAUCCUCCUCCGAUCUCUUCUAAUGUAGAAGGAGAGUCUUCCAGUCCUACGGUCAAGACACUUUCCCGGGGCGCUCAACUUCUGAUCCAAUCGUUGAAAAGGAACUGCUCUACAAGGGGGAAUCUCGGCCUGGCCAAAGUCAUGGGAGCUUCCAUUUGCUUCCAAGAAGAUCGGAACCGGUUGGUAGAGGAGAGCAUGGAUGAUAUCUUAGCUCAGACAAUGAGCUUGGGCUUAGAGGCCAUUGCAAAUCAGCACGUACUCAGAGAGAAAGCCCACGCUUUAAAGAAGGAGAUCCUCAAGGCGGUCCAAGACGCCUUAGCUGCGCAAGCUCAGCUCUCCUCUGCUAACGACUACAUCGCCAGAAUGGAAGAACGGAUGAAGCAUUAUGACGAGAGGAUAGCGGAGGUGGAACGAGAACUUGAAGAUUCCUGAGCUAGUCGGUCUGCUGAUCUUGCUCGUUAUGCUGAAGACCUUUGGGCAAAGGAGGAAGAGCUCCGAGCCAAGGAUGAGGAACUUCAAGCUAAGGAAGAGGAGAGCACCACGAAGGAGGCCGGGGCUUAUGUGAACGCCUAUAAUGACCUUCUGGACGAGCUGAGGAAGCGGUAUUCUGAAGAGGACUUCUCCUGGAUGAACGAGCUCGCCCCAGAGGCCGAAGAUGAGAACGACGAGGAUCCAGAGAGAGGGAGAGAAUGAGAGAAAUGAUGAUGUACUUAGAGAACAAGCUGGGGGAGACCCUCCAGCCGAAUGACUUGUAAAUUUUUAUUUUGAGAUGAAGUGAAGUAAAUUUUUAUUUUCAAUUUCUUGAUGAGAUCGGAA
rnacentral:misc_RNA from 1 species